GUGCCAGCAGCCGCGGUAAUACCGGCAGCUCAAGUGAUGGCCACUCUUAUUGGGCCUAAAGCGUCCGUAGCUGGCCGCGCAAGUCCGUCGGGAAAUCCAUCAGCUCAACUGAUGGGCGUUCGGCGGAAACUGCACGGCUUGGGACCGGAAGGCUCGAGAGGUACGUCCGGGGUAGGAGUGAAAUCCCGUAAUCCCGCACGGACCACCGAUGGCGAAAGCACUUCGAGAAAACGGAUCCGACAGUGAGGGACGAAAGCCAGGGUCUCCAACCGGAUUAGAUACCCGAGUAGUCC
rnacentral:rRNA from 1 species